rnacentral:rRNA from 1 species
GGAUGCGGAUCUCGAAAGCCUGUCCCAGUUCGGACUGGAGUCUGCAACCCGACUCCACGAAGUUGGAUUCGCUAGUAAUCGCGCAUCAGCCAUGGCGCGGUGAAUACGUUCCCGGGCCUUGUACACACCGCCCGUCAAGCCAUGGGAGCCGGGGGCGCCUGAAGUCCGGGACCGCGAGGACCGGCCUAGGGCGAAACUGGUAACUGGGGCUAAGUCGUAACAAGGUAGC